AACUCUGGACCAUGAGGUAGUUGCCAUUAAACGCGUCUACCUCUCUCUCACCUAAGCAGUAUUACCUAAAGAAAGAAAAAGAAACCCACAAAAAGCUUGGUACCCGCCAAAACUUGCUAUCAAGUGACGGGUUUCUCUCCUUCUUUAACUUAUUAAUGUCCCAGAGCUCCAACAAAGCUUGAAGAAUCAAGUUUCAAUGGGAAAACCAGGAUUUGCAAGAAAAAGAGGAUUGAAGAGAGUGAAUAGUUCAAAGCCAUUUAAGAAGUUCAAAAAUCUGAAGCUAAAUCCUGGAGCAGAAAAACUUGUACCUAAGCAACCUCUAGAAAAUGACUCAGAGGAUUGGUCUAAUGAAAAUUCUGAGGCUGAAUUAGAAACCAAAGAAGAAGAAGAAGUAGAAGAGGAUACUGUUUUUAACAGAAAGCCAACAAUGUAUGACAAUUUAUUGAAGAGGUUGGGAUCAAGUAGUCAAUUAAUUGCAAAUGCGAUUAAACAAAGGAUAUUGAAGUUUGCCAAACUUAUGCCAACAAUGGUGAUUCUAUAACUUAUUGAUCGUUUGGCGAGAUAUUCCAUUGGUGUUGCAGAACAUAUAUUUAUGAAAGAUUUCAACUAAAAGUAUACUUCAUGGAUAUCUAAUGGCAGUUUGAAUUCUUCACAUUUGGUAUUCAGUACUAACUUAUAUAUCAGAGGAUUUUU